rnacentral:rRNA from 1 species
GAGAGUUCACAAGUCCAUGAAACUGUAUACUGCAAAGCGAAUGGCUGAGUAUCAUUUCUUUUGCAAUCUAGCUGUUGGUGCACUGUGGAUGCGAAAGUGCGUUCACUAAACAAAUGCCUCGGUUCGCACCUUCUAAGCUGAUUGUGUAAGUUGAUGCUUGCUGAAUGGGUCAGAAUGAGUGAUGUUGUAUGAGGAACCUAUACUUAGGUCCCUAAUUGCGAUAUUCACAUUGAUGAGAGUAUAAAUGUGUAUUAUCGUGUUUCUGACAGUAUCAGUAAAAUAUAUGGCCAAGCAUAUACACUGAUGUUAUGAUCGUGGCGGUAUUAUAUGUAAUAGUGCCUACUAAUGGCAUUAGUGUCGAAAUGGCCAAAGCGGAUGGCAUAAUAAUGGCGCUCAGCAUUCGAGCCGUCUUGAAACACGGACCAAGGAAGUCUAACAA